CACCGGCGGCCCGAGUGGUGAUCGUGAUUAUUGGGUCUAAAGGGUCCGUAGCCGGUUUGGUCAGUCCUCCGGGAAAUCUGACAGCUCAACUGUUAGGCUUUCGGGGGAUACUGCCAGACUUGGAACCGGGAGAGGUAAGAGGUACUACAGGGGUAGGAGUGAAAUCUUGUAAUCCCUGUGGGACCACCUGUGGCGAAGGCGUCUUACCAGAACGGGUUCGACGGUGAGGGACGAAAGCUGGGGGCACGAACCGG
rnacentral:rRNA from 2 species